GAUGUCACGGAACCAGCCAAGGUCAUGAAUGAUGGAGUCGUGGCCCUCAAGAUCCGGUUCGACCGGGUCCACAAGUAGGUCCUCGGCGGAGGGCUGGGGCUUCUUAUUAGACGAUCUAUUGUGGUUUCGUGAAGAAGGCCAUGGAUGGUUGUGUUCGCAUGAAUAUGUAACUACCAGCAUAGUGGGGUCCACUCGGCUUCUCUCUACCUGCUUUCUCGCCGGACACCCCUUUGAGCUGCUACAUCUGUAGUAUCCUCUCGGAUGAUGGAGAAGAAGUAACCAAGGCAUCAAUGUUGAAGAGGGUGGAAUUUGAAGGAGGGGAGUCCGCACCAUCAUUGUCUUCUUGUUCCUUCAUAUACAGAUUUCUGCUACUCCUACUACUCCUGUUCCUCAACUUACUAUCCAUGUUUAGGUGCAAAAAUAACUCCUUUGAUUUGACUAUUGAUCCCACAAGAAACCGUACCACUGAUCGAUGCUGAUGCUGAUGCUUAAUUAUAUUGUGGCUGUGGCUAAGCGCCUAAGCUAUAGCAUUGAAAUCAAAAUUAGGGUUAUUAUAGCUAAGCUAAUAGAUUCUAUGUAUUCCAAUACUGACGAUGAAAAUUGAAGAGAGGUGAGAGAACAAUUAAAAAUGGGGAUUCAUGUUGACAGAUUGGCCAACCUAUCUCUAUGGCCCUUUCUUUAUUAGACGACGUGCGAUCAAAUACUUCAUCAGAUCGUAACUCAUACUCAUUUAUAUCAAUAAAUAAAAAAGAUAUCCAAUUAUAUAUGUCAUAUGAAAGCAACCCUGGCUUUCUUUAAUGUACUCAUUAUUUUAUAU